AUGGGUUGAAUCAGUGAUUGAGCACCUGGUGGGAAGGCAGGGACAACCCAAGGGAGCUCAGGUGAAUGCAACGCACCUGAGUGACCGAAAGGAGGAGCCAGGAUCCAGCCCUUCCCAGACCUCAUUUAAGGGUUGGCAGGGGAGGCAAGAUUGUUUUACUGGAUAUGUAUCUGAAGCCUUCUGAAGACGAUGAUAACUAACAUCCAAAACAAGUGAGAAGAAAACACUAUAUGCUACAAAUGAGGGACUUUUUACCUGUUGAACAAUAGCAUUUCUACUCUGGGUGUUUGUGAAAUACUGUAGGAGGGAAAUUAACCUCCCACCACACCUCCAUUUCUUAUAUUCUUAAAACUCCCAAGCCUGAUUCACUGGUGUAUGACUUCAGUUUCAAGUGAUGUUACAAUGGAUGUGCAAAGGAGAAAGUGCAGCUGAAGUAGCGGCAUGGAGGAUCAGACCCAUUAUCUUGGCAAGUGACUAAUAUCGCGCUCCAUAGCACAGGCUUUAAAACUGCAUCACACUAUUUUUAUUCAGGACAUAACUUUCUGCUUCAAUAGAAAUGCUUUAUUUUUUCCAGGAAAGUCAUACUGAGGUUUAGUUGAGGGGAAGGGGAAAAAAACAAGUAUUGACACUGGAUAAAUAAUGGGUAAAAAGUUUACCUCCAGUGUAAAGUUUGUCAUAUUACAGAUUAAAGAGGAGUGGAGUAGAGAUUAGGAUAAAAAAUGGACUGCCUGAAAUACUGUGAAGAACAACUAUUUGUAGUGUUUUCAAAUUGAAUAAGUCAACAGGAAUCCAGUGAAGAGGUAUUUAAAGUCUUGUCCCUGGAAAGGGUUUUCAUGGCAUUCUGGUGUCCUGUUUUGAUCAUUUUACUGAUAGAAUUUUCAAACUGUUACCUCAAAACGUUCUUAUUGAAACAGAAUCUCGGGUUGUCAGCUUUGACAUAUCGUCCUUAAGCUUUUGUUGAACAGUCACUACAGGGGCUCUCAGAAAUGGGUGGCUUAACAGAGACAUGCCUUAGCAAAAGGUCAAAGAAAAUCAUACAGAAAUCUUGAGUGUAUUUUCAAGUGGACACUUAGGAGCUUUCCUGGAAUAAAAGGGCAUUAAAGGACAUUUAGAAACAAAGAGUCCUUGGUAAGAAUUUAUUCUAUCUAGUUGUGGUGUUAGAACAAAUGUUUAGCUCAACCUAAAAUAUUUCACUGUUGAGCAUCUCAAAUCAAGCAACAAUCUCUGUGCCUUUCAAUAUAUGAAGUAGAAAUGCAUAGCAAAAAAAAAAAAAAAAAAAGUAGGCUCCAAAUAUUGCCGGAAUGGAUUUACUUAACAGAGUAUCAUGACUUUGGCGAGGUUAGAAACAUCAAAACUGAGAAGGAUGAGUUCAGGUUACAAGAUCGUGUUCUAGAAGUAGCAAUUCUGAAAAGGCUUUAAGGUUAAUGGUAGAUAACCUUGAUAUGUCCUCCCUAUGAAAUUCUAGGGGCAGGGAAGAGGUGUGAGAAAGAAAGAAAAAGAGAGAGAAAGACAGAAAAAACAUUAGGAAAAAAUAAGAAAUGAGAUUUCCUUGAAGUCUACAGAAUAUCUCUUCCAGGCCUUGUGCCUGCACAUGAAAGCAACUUUGUUAACUUGCUGAAAGAGAGCUACUGGACUGAUAUAAAUUCUGGAAGAUAACUUUGCUCAGACAGAUGGAGUGAAGAAUCUUCAAAUAAAAAACUGCAGUCUGAACAAAGUCAUACAGAAAGCAAACUAACGUCGCAGCUCAGAGAUGCUACAAAAUGUAAUCUGGCAGGAUUCAGAGUCUUCAUCAUAGCUAUGAGGACCACAGCUCCUGGUUUAUAAAAGUGAACAUUUAAAAGCCUUCCUGAAAAUCUGAUUUCAAUCCAAUAGUCAAAUAUUAAAGUCAUGAAAAUGAAAAGUGCAGUAUUUUUCUUUCUGCUCAAUUAACCAAUGAAAUACUUGCUAAUGGGAGAAAUAAACUCUCAGUUACU
rnacentral:lncRNA from 7 species